AGAGUUUGAUCCUGGCUCAGGAUGAACGCUGGCGGCGUGCCUAAUACAUGCAAGUCGAGCGAACAGACGAGGAGCUUGCUCCUUUGACGUUAGCGGCGGACGGGUGAGUAACACGUGGGUAACCUACCUAUAAGACUGGGAUAACUUCGGGAAACCGGAGCUAAUACCGGAUAAUAUUUCGAACCGCAUGGUUCGAUAGUGAAAGAUGGCUUUGCUAUCACUUAUAGAUGGACCUGCGCCGUAUUAGCUAGUUGGUAAGGUAACGGCUUACCAAGGCAACGAUACGUACCCGACCUGAGAGGGUGAUCGGCCACACUGGAACUGAGACACGGUCCAGACUCCUACGGGAGGCAGCAGUAGGGAAUCUUCCGCAAUGGGCGAAAGCCUGACGGAGCAACGCCGCGUGAGUGAUGAAGGUCUUCGGAUCGUAAAACUCUGUUAUUAGGGAAGAACAAACGUGUAAGUAACUGUGCACGUCUUGACGGUACCUAAUCAGAAAGCCACGGCUAACUACGUGCCAGCAGCCGCGGUAAUACGUAGGUGGCAAGCGUUAUCCGGAAUUAUUGGGCGUAAAGCGCGCGUAGGCGGUUUUUUAAGUCUGAUGUGAAAGCCCACGGCUCAACCGUGGAGGGUCAUUGGAAACUGGAAAACUUGAGUGCAGAAGAGGAAAGUGGAAUUCCAUGUGUAGCGGUGAAAUGCGCAGAGAUAUGGAGGAACACCAGUGGCGAAGGCGACUUUCUGGUCUGUAACUGACGCUGAUGUGCGAAAGCGUGGGGAUCAAACAGGAUUAGAUACCCUGGGUAGUCCACGCCGUAAACGAUGAGUGCUUAGUGUUAGGGGGUUUCCGCCCCUUAGUGCUGCAGCUACGCAUUAAGCACUCCGCCUGGGGAGUACGACCGGCAGGUUGA
rnacentral:rRNA from 1 species